rnacentral:rRNA from 1 species
UACGUAGGGUGCGAGCGUUAAUCGGAAUUACUGGGCGUAAAGCGUGUGCAGGCGGUGAUGUAAGUCAGAUGUGAAAUCCCCGGGCUCAACCUGGGAACUGCAUUUGUGACUGCCUCGCUGGAGUGCGGCAGAGGGGGAUGGAAUUCCGCGUGUAGCAGUGAAAUGCGUAGAUAUGCGGAGGAACACCGAUGGCGAAGGCAAUCCCCUGGGCCUGCACUGACGCUCAUGCACGAAAGCGUGGGGAGCAAACAGG